CCCGGCGCGAAGCGGUGGAGUAUGUGGUUUAAUUCGAUGCAACGCGAAGAACCUUACCUGGUCUUGACAUCCCGGAGACCCUUAGGAAACUAGGGGUGCUUCCAUCUGGAAGAAUCUGGAGACAGGUGCUGCAUGGCUGUCGUCAGCUCGUGUCGUGAGAUGUUGGGUUAAGUCCCGCAACGAGCGCAACCCUUGCCUUUAGUUGCCAGCAGUUCGGCUGGGCACUCUAAAGGGACUGCCGGUGUUAAACCGGAGGAAGGUGGGGAUGACGUCAAGUCCUCAUGGCCUUUAUGGCCAGGGCUACACACGUACUACAAUGGCCGGUACAAAGGGCAGCGACACUGCGAGGUGAAGCCAAUCCCGUAAAAUCGGUCUCAGUCCGGAUUGGAGUCUGCAACUCGACUCCAUGAAGUUGGAAUCGCUAGUAAUCGUGGAUCAGCAUGCCACGGUGAAUACGUUCCCGGGCCUU
rnacentral:rRNA from 1 species